rnacentral:lncRNA from 1 species
GUGCAGCAGAUAUCCGAGAUCUCUGGGAAAGUUAAGUUUACUUAACAUUCCUUAUUUGAUGGAAAUCGACGGUGUGAAUUUUGGUUCCCACAGUUGAUGACUUUGAAUAUGUUGGUUUUAAGAAAAUUGCUAGGAACUUGUCGGUUUUAAGACGACGUUCGUGUCUCUAGCUAUUUCUUUCUUUAGGAAGUUAGCUGAGUAUGUGUGGCGAUCGUUUCUCAGUUUUUCGAGAGUUUAGAUCGGUUUGCAGGAUUUUCCUAAACAGUUAAGGAACAUUAGAUUGAGAUGGGGGACAUUACCUAAGAUUGAGCGGUUUCGUAAAAUGUUUUAGAGUUAAUUUUACAAAAGUCAUUCUGUAAACAUGUUUUUG